GGGGAUAUAGCUCAGUUGGUAGAGUAACUGCCUUGCAUUCAUAAAGCCCUGGGUUCAAACCCCAGCACCA
rnacentral:tRNA from 1 species